GGCCCGGCCCCCGCCCUCCGCACACACCUCCCACCCCCACCUGGGACCCCGCAAGUAACCCCCCACACUGGCCCUGGGCCCUCCCGGCCCCCGCCUCCGGCGCAGCCCCCUCGCCACCCCCGCUUCCCUCCCGUCUCGGGCCCCCUCCCCCCGCCGCCCCCGCCCCCGGGGAAGGCAGGCGCCGAGCUGAGCCGGGGCCGAUGCAGCUGAGCCGCGCCGCCGCCGCCGCCGCCGCCGCCCCUGCGGAGCCCCCGGAGCCGCUGUCCCCCGCGCCGGCCCCGGCCCCGGCCCCCCCCGGCCCCCUCCCGCGCAGCGCGGCCGACGGGGCUCCGGCGGGGGGGAAGGGGGGGCCGGGGCGCCGCGCGGAGUCCCCGGGCGCUCCGUUCCCCGGCGCGAGCGGCCCCGGCCCGGGCCCCGGCGCGGGGAUGGACGGCCCCGGGGCCAGCGCCGUGGUCGUGCGCGUCGGCAUCCCGGACCUGCAGCAGACGAAGUGCCUGCGCCUGGACCCGGCCGCGCCCGUGUGGGCCGCCAAGCAGCGCGUGCUCUGCGCCCUCAACCACAGCCUCCAGGACGCGCUCAACUAUGGGCUUUUCCAGCCGCCCUCCCGGGGCCGCGCCGGCAAGUUCCUGGAUGAGGAGCGGCUCCUGCAGGAGUACCCGCCCAACCUGGACACGCCCCUGCCCUACCUGGAGUUUCGAUACAAGCGGCGAGUUUAUGCCCAGAACCUCAUCGAUGAUAAGCAGUUUGCAAAGCUUCACACAAAGGCGAACCUGAAGAAGUUCAUGGACUAUGUCCAGCUGCAUAGCACGGACAAGGUGGCCCGCCUGCUGGACAAGGGGCUGGACCCCAACUUCCAUGACCCUGACUCAGGAGAGUGCCCCCUGAGCCUCGCAGCCCAGCUGGAUAACGCCACGGACCUGCUAAAGGUGCUGAAGAAUGGCGGCGCCCACCUGGACUUCCGCACUCGCGACGGGCUCACUGCUGUGCACUGUGCCACGCGCCAGCGGAAUGCGGCAGCACUGACGACCCUGCUGGACCUGGGGGCUUCACCUGACUACAAGGACAGCCGUGGCUUGACACCCCUCUACCACAGCGCCCUGGGGGGUGGGGAUGCCCUCUGCUGUGAGCUGCUUCUCCAUGACCACGCUCAGCUGGGGACCACCGACGAGAAUGGCUGGCAGGAGAUCCACCAGGCCUGCCGCUUUGGGCACGUGCAGCACCUGGAGCACCUGCUGUUCUAUGGGGCAGACAUGGGGGCCCAGAACGCCUCGGGGAACACAGCCCUGCACAUCUGUGCCCUCUACAACCAGGAGAGCUGUGCUCGUGUCCUGCUCUUCCGUGGAGCUAACAGGGAUGUCCGCAACUACAACAGCCAGACAGCCUUCCAGGUGGCCAUCAUCGCAGGGAACUUUGAGCUUGCAGAGGUCAUCAAGACCCACAAAGACUCGGAUGUUGUACCAUUCAGGGAAACCCCCAGCUAUGCGAAGCGGCGGCGACUGGCUGGCCCCAGUGGCUUGGCAUCCCCUCGGCCUCUGCAGCGCUCAGCCAGCGAUAUCAACCUGAAGGGGGAGGCACAGCCAGCAGCUUCUCCUGGACCCUCACUGAGAAGCCUCCCCCACCAGCUGCUGCUCCAGCGGCUGCAAGAGGAGAAAGAUCGUGACCGGGAUGCCGACCAGGAGAGCAACAUCAGUGGCCCUUUAGCAGUCAGGGGCAGCCAGAGCAAGAUCAGCCCGAGCGGGCCCGGCGGCCCCGGCCCCGCGCCCGGCCCCGGCCCCGCGCCCCCUGCGCCCCCCGCACCGCCGCCCCGGGGCCCGAAGCGGAAACUUUACAGCGCCGUCCCCGGCCGCAAGUUCAUCGCCGUGAAGGCGCACAACCCGCAGGGUGAAGGCGAGAUCCCGCUGCACCGCGGCGAGGCCGUGAAGGUGCUCAGCAUUGGGGAGGGCGGUUUCUGGGAGGGAACCGUGAAAGGCCGCACGGGCUGGUUCCCGGCUGACUGCGUGGAGGAAGUGCAGAUGAGGCAGCAUGACACACGGCCUGAAACACGGGAGGACCGGACGAAGCGGCUCUUUCGGCACUACACAGUGGGCUCCUACGACAGCCUCACCUCACACAGCGAUUAUGUCAUUGAUGACAAAGUGGCUGUCCUGCAGAAACGGGACCAUGAGGGCUUUGGUUUUGUGCUCCGGGGAGCCAAAGCAGAGACCCCCAUCGAGGAGUUCACGCCCACGCCAGCCUUCCCGGCGCUGCAGUAUCUUGAGUCGGUGGACGUGGAGGGUGUGGCCUGGAGGGCCGGGCUGCGCACGGGAGACUUCCUCAUCGAGGUGAACGGGGUGAACGUGGUGAAGGUCGGACACAAGCAGGUGGUGGCUCUGAUUCGCCAGGGUGGCAACCGCCUCGUCAUGAAGGUUGUGUCUGUGACAAGGAAGCCAGAAGAGGACGGGGCUCGGCGCAGAGCCCCACCGCCCCCCAAGAGGGCCCCCAGCACCACACUGACCCUGCGCUCCAAGUCCAUGACAGCUGAGCUCGAGGAACUCGCCUCCAUUCGGAGAAGAAAAGGGGAGAAGCUGGACGAGAUGCUGGCAGCCGCUGCAGAGCCAACGCUGAGGCCAGACAUCGCGGACGCAGACUCCAGAGCUGCCACCGUCAAACAGAGGCCCACCAGUCGGAGGAUCACACCCGCCGAGAUUAGCUCAUUGUUUGAACGCCAGGGCCUCCCAGGCCCAGAGAAGCUGCCAGGCUCCUUGCGGAAGGGGAUUCCACGGACCAAGUCUGUAGGGGAGGACGAGAAGCUGGCGUCCCUGCUGGAAGGGCGCUUCCCGCGGAGCACCUCGAUGCAAGACCCGGUGCGCGAGGGUCGCGGCAUCCCGCCCCCGCCGCAGACCGCGCCGCCUCCCCCGCCCGCGCCCUACUACUUCGACUCGGGGCCGCCCCCAGCCUUCUCGCCGCCGCCCCCGCCGGGCCGCGCCUACGACACGGUGCGCUCCAGCUUCAAGCCCGGCUUGGAGGCGCGCCUGGGCGCGGGCGCUGCCGGCCUGUACGAGCCGGGCGCGGCCCUCGGCCCGCUGCCCUAUCCCGAGCGGCAGAAGCGCGCGCGCUCCAUGAUCAUCCUGCAGGACUCGGCGCCCGAGUCGGGCGACGCCCCUCGACCCCCGCCCGCGGCCACCCCGCCCGAGCGACCCAAGCGCCGGCCGCGGCCGCCCGGCCCCGACAGUCCCUACGCCAACCUGGGCGCCUUCAGCGCCAGCCUCUUCGCUCCGUCCAAGCCGCAGCGCCGCAAGAGCCCCCUGGUGAAGCAGCUGCAGGUGGAGGAUGCGCAGGAGCGCGCGGCCCUGGCCGUGGGCAGCCCCGGUCCCGGCGGCGGCAGCUUCGCCCGCGAGCCCUCCCCGACCCACCGCGGGCCGCGCCCGGGCGGCCUCGACUACGGCGCGGGCGAUGGCCCGGGGCUCGCGUUCGGCGGCCCGGGCCCGGCCAAGGACCGGCGGCUGGAGGAGCGGCGCCGCUCCACUGUGUUCCUGUCCGUGGGUGCCAUCGAGGGCAGCGCCCCCAGCGCGGAUCUGCCAUCCCUCCAGCCCUCCCGCUCCAUCGACGAGCGCCUCCUGGGGACCGGCCCCACCGCCGGCCGCGACCUGCUGCUGCCCUCCCCGGUGUCUGCUCUGAAGCCAUUGGUCAGCGGCCCGAGCCUUGGGCCCUCGGGCUCCACCUUCAUCCACCCACUCACCGGCAAACCCCUGGACCCCAGCUCACCCCUGGCCCUUGCCCUGGCUGCCCGAGAGCGAGCUCUGGCCUCCCAGGCGCCCUCCCGGUCCCCCACACCCGUGCACAGUCCCGACGCCGACCGCCCCGGACCCCUGUUUGUGGAUGUACAGGCCCGGGACCCAGAGCGAGGGUCCCUGGCUUCCCCAGCUUUCUCCCCACGGAGCCCGGCCUGGAUUCCUGUGCCUGCUCGCAGGGAGGCAGAGAAGGUCCCCCGGGAGGAGCGGAAGUCGCCCGAGGAUAAGAAGUCCAUGAUCCUCAGCGUCCUGGACACAUCCCUGCAGCGGCCAGCUGGCCUCAUUGUUGUGCACGCCACCAGCAACGGGCAGGAGCCCAGCAGGCUGGGGGGGGCCGAAGAGGAGCGCCCGGGCACCCCGGAGUUGGCCCCGGCCCCCAUGCAGUCAGCGGCUGUGGCAGAGCCCCUGCCCAGCCCCCGGGCCCAGCCCCCUGGUGGCACCCCGGCAGACGCUGGGCCAGGCCAGGGCAGCUCAGAGGAAGAGCCAGAGCUGGUGUUCGCUGUGAACCUGCCACCCGCCCAGCUGUCGUCCAGCGAUGAGGAGACCAGGGAGGAGCUGGCCCGAAUUGGGUUGGUGCCACCCCCUGAAGAGUUUGCCAACGGGGUCCUGCUGGCCACCCCACUUGCUGGCCCGGGCCCCUCGCCCACCACGGUGCCCAGCCCGGCCUCAGGGAAGCCCAGCAGUGAGCCACCCCCUGCCCCUGAGUCUGCAGCCGACUCUGGGGUGGAGGAGGCUGACACACGCAGCUCCAGCGACCCGCACCUGGAGACCACAAGCACCAUCUCCACGGUGUCCAGCAUGUCCACCUUGAGCUCGGAGAGCGGGGAACUCACUGACACCCACACCUCCUUCGCUGACGGACACACUUUUCUACUAGAGAAGCCACCAGUGCCUCCCAAGCCCAAGCUCAAGUCCCCGCUGGGGAAGGGGCCGGUGACCUUCAGGGACCCGCUGCUGAAACAGUCCUCGGACAGCGAGCUCAUGGCCCAGCAGCACCAUGCCGCCUCUGCCGGGCUGGCCUCUGCCGCCGGGCCUGCCCGCCCUCGCUACCUCUUCCAGAGAAGGUCCAAGCUAUGGGGGGACCCCGUGGAGAGCCGGGGACUCCCUGGGCCUGAAGACGACAAACCAACUGUGAUCAGUGAGCUCAGCUCCCGCCUGCAGCAGCUGAACAAAGACACGCGUUCCCUGGGGGAGGAACCAGUUGGUGGCCUGGGCAGCCUGCUGGACCCUGCCAAGAAGUCGCCCAUCGCAGCAGCUCGGUGAGCAGGGCAGUGCGGGGAGGGAUCCGUGCCUUGUCCGUGGCCCCCUCUGUUCUUCCUCUUGUCUGUUCUCUGGCUCUUCUGUUCCUCCUUGUUCUGUUCCAUUCCUUCUGUGGCAACCCCCAACCCGCUCCCGCCAUCCACCUCUGAAUCCAGUCUUGCUUGGCCUACCUGAGAGAGGAGGCUCUUCUGGGCGUCUGACACAUCAGGGUUGCUGCUCACUGUGUCCCUGUUGGUGCCAGAAGUGGGAGCUGGGCUCCCCUCAGAGACUCAGGUUGGGCAUGAGCGCCUCCAUGGCCCUCCUGGAGGCUCUUGGCCCCAGGGAUUCCUGUGGGUUCUCUCUCUCGCUCCCAACGCAGGCUGUCUUUACCAUCAAGGGUUGUUUCGUGUUUUACUUUGGAGGUACGCCUCCCUCCUCCCAUCCUGUCUGUGGCCAUGUGGCUGCCCAGCGUGGCUGAUACCCUCUGCCUUAGAGCUGCCUCCUGCCUUGCUUCCUUUGGCAGCUUGGAGCACACUGACUCCUCUUCUUCUGGGGGAUCUGCCACUAACUUCCUAUUUCCCAUCCCAGAAACAUUUGUCUCUUGGCACCACCUUAGAAUCCCGUAAACAUGGGUUCCCGUGUGUCAUUUCUAAAGUGCAGUAAGAAGGUAGAUGGAAGUCACGCCAUCUCCCUGCACUCCAUCUGCCCUCUUGCCUUCUCCCCACCACUUCCCCCUCUGUCCUGCCCCUACCCAGAAGGAUCUGAGCAGGGGCCUGGCUUGCUGCUGAGGCUGUCACAGCUGCCAGAGCCCUGGGCUGAUCCCAUAGGUCUUUCCUUGACGACCCGACUCCCAAGGCUCCUUCCAAAGAGGAGCCCUUCAGGCCCGUGGGCUGCAUGGAUGCUGGUGGCAGAGCUGGUCAUCCCCCACCCGCCCCCUUGUCUGCCUUUUUAAAGCUGCUUUUGCCUUCUGUGCCCCAGGUCUCCCCUCUCCUCUCUGGGUCUGGGGGGGUGGUACGUGGGUGCCGCCUCUUGACACCUCCUUCUUGCUGCCAGGGAGACCAACCUAGUGGGCCCUGUACUGUCAGCCUCGGAGGACAGAGUUCACAGCGUAGCAACGUGUUCAGAACUUAAGGACUUUGCAGGUCUUACAAAGGCCUGGCCAUUCUACCUUCUUUAGUUCAGGAUUCAAAAGACAGGAGCUUGGGAAGCUCACGAGGCCUCUCCCAAGGUCCCGGGAUGCUGCCUCCAGCUCCUGUCAUCCUGGGGAAUUGCUCUGGGGUCCUCUCCCCUUUUUGCCUUUUCCAACUCCCAGCCAAACUGGAAAGCCCUCUUCCCAGCAGUGCAGUGUUGAAGGUGCCCGUAGAAUGGGUGUUAUAAUCAGAGUGAGCAGCCUGGUCCUAGGCCUCUGUACAGGACCAGGCCCUGAGGCUGGGGUCUCCUGACCCACACCUGACCAGCCCCCAUCUUCCCUCUCUGCUUCUCCCUCCGCUCCUCUUUGCCUCUUGGUCUUGAUGAAAAUCAAAGCCAUUUUAAAAAGUGCAUAGCACAGUGCCUGGCCUGGUUCAGGCCCUCAAUAAACAUUUCUUAAAUGGAUGAAAGAACAAAGCAAAAUGCAAAUGCUGUCUUUUGUGAUUUGAGAUCUAGGGAGGUGGCUUAGGACAAAAACCCACAGAAGGACUUACUCAGCGUUCAGACUCAUCAGGUGUCAAUCCCCCAUGGUCGGGCUCAGGUGGGCCCAGGUCUCGUCAUUGGCCCUGUCCUCUCCUGUGAGGCAGCUGCAGCAGUUGGAGAGCAGGGUCAGGGGAUUCCUCAGCCGGAACCUCUGGCACUUCCCCCUUCUCUGAGUUCAUCCUCCCACAGAGCUCUUUAGCGUUCUGUCUUGAUCAGGGUACGGUUCUCUUAGCCUUGGCUCUGGCUUUCACCAGGACUCUGUUUGUUUUUCUUUCUCAGAUGUGGGAUGGGGAAGGACAAGACCGGCAGCCCUGACCCUUACGUGAUGUCUGUUCUUUUACUCAGUAGUUCCUGCAAAAUUCUGAUCUCUGAUUGGGUUCAUGUGGGUCCUCUGCUUUUCUCUGACUGAUCACUGGGGUCUGGGGACAUAGGGCUUUCAUCAGCCAGGCUUGAGUCCUCUGUUCUCCCAGGAGCCAGGGGGAUGGGUCCGCCCACCUAGCAAGCAGGUGCUGAGAGUGAGGGGAGGGGGCUCUCCAGAUGGAAGUCCAGUGCUGUCCCUGGAGUAACCAGAUGCUGGACAGCCUGUAACAACCAAUGUUCUGUGACACGGCCCCCACUGGCAUCAGCAACUCACUUCCUUGCUGGUCGUUGGCUUGGAGCCAUCAGAGGGCCCUGAUGUCGGUGCUCAGCAGGUCACAGCUUAGUGCUGUAUCCCUCCCCCGUGCAGUGUAUUACAGUGAGCCGACUGCACAGGCUAUCGCGAGGCUGCACACGGCAUCACCUGUGAAGCACCCAGUAGGCCCAGGGCUGGGGCCUGUGGACCCUCACUGGUGUGAGCUGCCAUUGUCUCUGCUGUCACUGACACCCAGGCACUCAGACACCUAGGUGAGGUCUUAGAGUCCUUUGUGGGAAAACAAGCCUGUUGGAUGCAGCAUUGGAGAUGGUCCUGCCAUAUCAGUUUGUCUUCACACCAUUCCAUUAGACGGACCCUAACAGGAUCGUCAUGUUCCAGACAAUGAAACUGAGGUACCAGAGAGUUUCCUUGCAGACAGAAAGCGGUGGUCUGCCUGACCAUAAGCCCUGCUCUCUGGCUGCCGUAAUCGAGGGCCGCUGUUGUUAAACCCCUUCUGAUGACACACAAUGGGCUUUCGCCCAAUAAUCCCCGUCCACAGAAGUGGCAGGUGUGUGCAUCGCACAGACUCACCCCCUCUGUUUACUGGUCAUGUUUGUCAUAAGUAGCACCUGGUGCCACCUGAGUGGCUUACCCGGGCCUGCUUUUCCUUCUCAGUUUGCCUGUGUGUUACCUUCUGUUCCAGCUCACUCUUCCUUUCACCCUCUUGUGCUCCUUCUUGCCCUCAGACCUGGGCUAAACUACAGCCAUCUGGAGGGGGCCCCACUGCCCACCCUGGGCCCUUAACUUCUGGUGCUUCUGGCUGCAGGCAGCGGGGCGGAGCACAGGACACUUGGUGAUGUCUGAGUCCAGUCCUGUUUCAGAUCUGGUCCUUUGUGUGCCCACCGUGGCUGUUGUCAGCUCUUGUCCUGCAGCCCCUAAUAGCUGGAGUCCAGUACUCACUCCUCACUUAGGGAUAAAACUGCUGGUGGAACUGUCUAAAGUGUGGGAGGUUCUGACAUCCAGGUAUGGCUGCUUCCUUCCCAGGGCCAGUCCUGGCAGAGGCACUAGGUCACCCUCAGGGCCAUACCCUGAGCUGUGUCUCCAGCCCCUUGUGUUCCACAGUGUUUGUCUCCCAGGCCCAUCCUUCUCCCUGACUGACACCAUGAGGAAGGGAAUGCCCCACCCACCUUCUCCACAGAUGGCUCAUUCCUGAUGUGCUUUAGCCACAAGGUAUUGUGUGGCCUGAGAGCUUUCUGGGCAAGUUAAGCUGUCCUGUAUGCCAUGGAACCAAAGCUCGGUAACCUGUGGAAAAAUGAUGAGCUCUCGGGCCACCUUUGAUUUUCAGGGGAACCUGGAGGAUGUGGCACUCUCAUGCUGCCUCUGGAAGGUCCAGGACCUUUGGCCUUUGGAAUCCUUGAUCCCAGAUUGUCCACCUGCUCUGUGCUCCCAGCUCCAAGUCUAGCUCUGCUGGACAGACCAUUCAUCUGCCCAGAGCCCCUCCUCGGUCUCUGGGCCCCACACCUGACUCUGAGGCUGCAUUUGGGCAUGAUUCAGACCUGACUCCGAGCCCCACAACUGGCCACAGGCACCCCAUCUGUCUGAGGCUCACACUUGUCUCUGAGACCCUGGCUCCACACCUGGCUCUAAACUCCAUUUGUCUUCCAGGCCCCAUGCUCGGAUCUGAAUCCCAUGUGGGGUCUGAGGUCCAUAGCAAGGCUCACGUCUGCCUUGGCACUUAGAUUUACAUGGGACUCUCACAUCUGGUUUUGUAGGUAAAGUUCAUGGCAAAAUAGCUUUGGAAACACAAAAAGAGGUUCUUUGCUGCAGUACUUCUGGUGCCUUUGACAAGCUUGUGUGGAGGAGGGCACUGUGUGCCAUGGUCUCCAGACCUGUUAGAGUCAGUUCCUAGAUCUCCCAGAAGACCCACAUUCCUCAAAAUGGUCAAGAAACCCUGCCCUGGUGGCCUGCUGCAGACCCUGCCUGCUAAUAUAUUUGUCAGGGCUCUGGACAAAGCACUGUGUGCUUGGUGGAUCACACUGGUAAGCAGGGCCAAGGCCAGCAGGGCCUGCUCUUUUGAAACCCAGACUGAAUGUGUCACAUACCUGCCAGUGGGGGCCCCUGCAGGCCACAUGCAGCUGGGGCAGGUGUGUUCCCAGGAUCCCUGAACCCUGUUCGGGGAGUAGGAAGGAGGUACAGAGGAGGGGAUAUAGGACACUGGGGCCCAUCAGAGCUGGAGCUGGGAACAGGCGGGGUGCUGAGGAGCAAGAUGUGUUACCGCAGAGGAUGCACUGGAAGCUUCAGAGCCCAUGUCUGGUUUUGUGCUCCUCUGAGAAUUAGUUCCCUUAAUGAGGCCCCUAGUUUACAAAAGGCCACAGGCCUAGACCGGCCCCAUGUGAGUGCACCUUAAUGAGGCCCCUAGUUUGCAAAAGGCCACAGGCCUAGACCGGCCCCACGUGAGUGCAGUGGCAGAAGACCCGAGGCAGUAUCCAGGGCCUGAGUGUGGACAUUUUCCUGCUUGUUGGCCCCAGUGGGCUGACUGAGUUGGGCACGCCUGGCAGGGACAUGUCAUCCUAUUUUUGCAUUUCGUUAGUGCAUCUCGUAUUCCUGGCUUUGUGCUAGGUACCAGGAGGCAAGGAGAACUGGUAAGAAGUGGGGUGAAGGGCCUGAGACCAUGAACGGUCUGGAUCCAGAAAUGGCUAGGGGUAAAGAGAAGGUCUGGGUUGAUAUUAGGAGUUAGUCAUUGGCUGUAGGGUAAAAAGAGGAGCUGAUGGUGGCUCCCAGGCUCUGUGUGUGGCAAUGACAGGGUGCCGUUCACUGAGUUGGGGAUGGAGGGACAUGUGUGGAUACUCCAGUAGAGGUGCUGGACUCAUCAGAGACUGUCUGGGUCUCACAUGCAGCAUUCCUGGGCACACUGGCCAUAGCAAAGGGUCUGAGUGGAUAAUGUUGCCCAGGAGAAACUGCAAACUAAGAGGGGAGCUCCGAAAAUCCAUCUAGGAAGGAAGAGGCCUGGGAAAGAAUGUCUCGAAGGGAAACAUGAACAGGUCAGCAGCAGGGUCUUGCUGACGGCCUGGGCAACUGCGGGGCAGAGGGCGGCGUGGGGAGGGUGUGGCAAGGCCAGUCCUCUCUCACUGGCUGAGAGUCACUGGGAAACAGCGAGACGGUGCAGGAUUCAAAUGUAGGUGGAAAGAUGUGGGGCCGUGGGGCCCUCAGCAUGAUCUGGACUCAGCCUCUUCAGGGCGGCUGCUGGAGGUGUUCGUGGGUGAUGGUGCCUGGUGAAGUAUCAUGUGUUAGAGGGUGGGUGGCCCAGAAGCUCUUUGGGAGGCUGGCAGGUGCUGUGAUGUGGCUGUUUGGCGGCCGGAGCCUGGCCAGGGAGGUGGCCAGACAGUGGCUGAGAGUGACGGUGGGUGUGCAGAGAGGCUACGGAAACAUGGAAGUCAGACAUGGACACUGCUUGGAUUUGUGCCCUGGGGAUUGUGUGGGCAGUACCCUGUUCCCCAAGAGAAAGAGGAGAAGCAGACACCUGGGCCGUGGGUGACCCCAGACCCCUCCCUCCUGUGCCCUGGGGACUUUGGCGGGCACAGCCUUCCUUGGGCGUUUUCUCUUGGCCUCCUGACAUCUCCAACAUGCUCUGGGAGGCGGGAGCAAUGUGACUGGCUCUCCUCACAUCUCUUGCCCUCGGGCCCCUGGCUCCGUGGGUGCCUCUGGAGCCAGCCUGCCCUCUGCCCAGGUCUCCAGCUCAGCCCCUGCCAGUACUACCCAGACAGGCACAACUCUGCUCUGCCCAGCUCGGACCUUCUGGAGCCCAGACCCUGCUCUGGGCUCCGGCCGAGCCUCCCGGCUGCGCUGCCCGCGCCUGCCCUGUGCCUCUGCCUUCACUGCUGUGGUCCUGCAACUCAUCAGUGUGCUUCAGUCACACCUGAGACUCCAGGUACACCUGCCAUCACAACUCCAUUGAAAGCUAAGCCUUGGGGCAGGGGCAGGGCCAGGGUAGGUGUCCAUCCUGUGAGACAGGUCCCCAGGCCAGGGCCACUGUGUCGGAGCUGGUGGGUGGAGGUCAGGUGCAUAUUCCUGGUCCUGCUCCUCUCCGGGUGUCCACAGUCAGGUCCCUCUGAGUGAUUCUCUUGGAGUCUCCUCUGGCAAGCCCCUCCAGCAGUCACCACCACCUGGCACCCACCCCCAGGGGACCCCCCGACCCAACACCACCUGGCACCUCCCCUCGGGAACCCCCCAACCCUGGCUGCCUCCCCACUUUGCCCCACUGUGCAGGUGGAUCCAUGGAGGCCAGGUCCAGUGGAAGCAAAGACAGCUUAUUCUGGUGGUUGGUGCCUGUGCUGAGGCCCACCUCAGGUGUUCUUGAAGCCCCUUUCUGUUUGGGGGCACAGUGUGGCCUCUUCAGGAAGUUCUGCUCUGGAUCUGAGCAGCUGGGAGGAGGCAGUAGGGACAGAGGCUGAGGAGAGGAGAGAAAUGAGGUCCCAUGGGAGAGACAGAGCUCAGCUCUCCACAGAGGGUUGGCCUCUCACAGGUGGGGGACAAAAGACGAAACCUGCUUUAAGGGGAGCCCCAUGCCUGUGUGGGGCAGGCACUGGGGAUGCUGUGUGGUGAGGACAGCACAGAGGUUGGGGUGGGGGGACUCAGCCUGGGCAGGGGCAGGGAGAGGGGGUGGGAGGGCCACUGGAGAGGGGCCCGGCCAAAGAGGAUGUCAGGGGCUCAGCACCCCCAGGCGCCAGGCACCUGCCGAGCACUGCAGCCACGCUUGUGGUCCACCUGCACUUGGAGACUCUCGCACAGGCGCCUCUCCUCCACCAGCAGCUCCAGCUUUGUCCCUCCCACAGCAGCUGGGCCCUCUGCACCUGAGUUCCUCCCUCCACACCUGGCUGCCCGUUGUGUGGCUGCAGCUGUGGGUCGCGUGGGCCUGGCCGGCUAACUCUCUCUCUCAUUGCUCUCUCCUGCCCAUCUGCAUGUGGCUGCUCUGUCGAGCUGCGCCGCGGUCCCGAGCGCCGGCUGUGCUCUUCAGCAGCCUCGGUGAGCUGAGCUCCAUUUCAGCGCAGCGCAGCCCCGGGGGCCCGGGCGGCGGGGCCUCGUACUCGG